rnacentral:rRNA from 1 species
AUUGAACGCUGGCGGAAUGCUUUACACAUGCAAGUCGAACGGCAGCACGGGUGCUUGCACCUGGUGGCGAGUGGCGAACGGGUGAGUAAUGCACCGGAGCGUAUCCAAUAAUGGGGGAUAACGCACCGAAAGGUGUGCUAAUACCGCAUACGCCCUGAGGGGGAAAGCGGGGGAUCGUAAGACCUCGCGUUAAUGGAGCGGCCGAUGCCGGAUUAGCUAGUUGGUGAGGUAAAGGCUCACCAAGGCGACGAUCCGUAGCUGGUCUGAGAGGACGACCAGCCACACUGGAACUGAGACACGGUCCAGACUCCUACGGGAGGCAGCAGUGGGGAAUUUUGGACAAUGGGCGCAAGCCUGAUCCAGCCAUUCCGCGUGAGUGAAGAAGGCUCGGUUGUAAG